rnacentral:rRNA from 1 species
AUACGUAGGUGGCAAGCGUUGUCCGGAUUUACUGGGCGUAAAGGGCGUGUAGGCGGUCCGUUAAGUCCGGUGUGAAAUCUCCCGGCCCAACUGGGAGAGGUCAUCGGAUACUGGCGGACUAGAGGGGGGCAGAGGAAGGUGGAAUUCCCGGUGUAGCGGUGAAAUGCGUAGAUAUCCGGAGGAACACCAGUGGCGAAGGCGGCCUUCUGGGCCCACCCUGACGCUGAGGCGCGAAAGCGUGGGGAGCAAACCGGAUUAGAAACCCCGGUAGUCC